GUCAGAAGUACAUCUACACUGGGUCUCACAAUUCUUGUGUUUAUAUCUAUGAUUUGUUGACUGGAGCUCUAGUUGCCAACCUCAAGCAUCAUAAAUCACCAGUAAGAGACUGUAGCUGGCACCCUCAAUAUCCAAUGCUUGUAAGCUCUUCAUGGGAUGGGGAUGUUGUCAAAUGGGAAUUUCCGGGCAGUGGUGAAGCACCGACUCCUCCGAACAAGAAGAGGGUCCGCAGGCGACAUUUCUAUUGAAGACUGCUGAAGAAAAUUGUAAGCCAAGCUCUUCCCUGUCCUUUAUAGCUUGGCAAAUGCAGUAUAGCACUGUGAUGCAUGCAUCCUAUCUUACUGUCAAAAAUAAGAUGCAAUUAGUAUAUGCCUUUUAUAUCUCACGGUUGCAAUAUUUUGU
rnacentral:misc_RNA from 1 species